GCUACGGGUGGCAGCAGUGAGGAAUAUUGGUCAAUGGGCGGGAGCCUGAACCAGCCAAGUCGCGUGAGGGAAGACGGUCCUAUGGAUUGUAAACCUCUUUAGGCGGGGAGCAAUGCCGGGCACGCGUGCCCGGAGGGAGAGUACCCGCAGAAUAAGCAUCGGCUAACUCCGUGCCAGCAGCCGCGGUAAUACGGAGGAUGCGAGCGUUCUCCGGAUGUAUUGGGUUUAAAGGGUGCGUAGGCGGAUUUUUAAGUCAGCGGUAAAAUGUCCGGGCUCAACCCGGGCCGGCCGUUGAAACUGGGGAUCUUGAGUGGGCGAGAAGUAUGCGGAAUGCGUGGUGUAGCGGUGAAAUGCGUAGAUAUAUGGAAGAACACCAGUGGCGAAAGCGGCUCUCUGGUCUGUAACUGACGCUGAGGUUCGAAAGCGUGGGUAGCAAACAGGAUUAGAUACCCCUGUAGUC
rnacentral:rRNA from 1 species